GGGAAACAGGUUAAUAUUCCUGUACUUCUGGUUACUGCGAUGGAGGGACGGAGAAGGCUAGGCCAGCUUGGCGUUGGUUGUCCAAGUUUAAGGUGGUAGGCUGAAAUCUUAGGUAAAUCCGGGGUUUCAAGGCCGAGAGCUGAUGACGAGUCGUCUUUUGGAUGACGAAGUGGUUGAUGCCAUGCUUCCAAGAAAAGCUUCUAAGCUUCAGGUAACCAGGAACCGUACCCCAAACCGACACAGGUGGUCGGGUAGAGAAUACCAAGGCGCUUGAGAGAACUCGGGUGAAGGAACUAGGCAAAAUGGCACCGUAACUUCGGGAGAAGGUGCGCCGGCUAGGGUGAAGGAUUUACUCCGUAAGCUCUGGCUGGUCGAAGAUACCAGGCCGCUGCGACUGUUUAUUAAAAACACAGCACUCUGCAAACACGAAAGUGGACGUAUAGGGUGUGACGCCUCCCCGGUGCCGGAAGGUUAAUUGAUGGGGUUAGCGCAAGCGAAGCUCUUGAUCGAAGCCCCGGUAAACGGCGGCCGUAACAAUAACGGUCCUAAGGUAGCGAAAUUCCUUGUCGGGUAAGUUCCGACCUGCACGAAUGGCGUAACGAUGGCGGCGCUGUCUCCACCCGAGACUCAGUGAAAUUGAAAUCGCUGUGAAGAUGCAGUGUAUCCGCGGCUAGACGGAAAGACCACGUGAACCUUUACUGUAGCUUUGCACUGGACUUUGAGCCUGCUUGUGUAGGAUAGGUGGGAGGCUUUGAAGCGUGGACGCCAGUUCGCGUGGAGCCAUCCUUGAAAUACCACCCUGGCAUGCUUGAGGUUCUAACUCUGGUCCGUAAUCCGGAUCGAGGACAGUGUAUGGUGGGCAGUUUGACUGGGGCGGUCUCCUCCUAAAGAGUAACGGAGGAGUACGAAGGUGCGCUCAGACCGGUCGGAAAUCGGUCGCAGAGUAUAAAGGCAAAAGCGCGCUUGACUGCGAGACAGACACGUCGAGCAGGUACGAAAGUAGGUCUUAGUGAUCCGGUGGUUCUGUAUGGAAGGGCCAUCGCUCAACGGAUAAAAGGUACUCCGGGGAUAACAGGCUGAUACCGCCCAAGAGUUCAUAUCGACGGCGGUGUUUGGCACCUCGAUGUCGGCUCAUCACAUCCUGGGGCUGAAGCCGGUCCCAAGGGUAUGGCUGUUCGCCAUUUAAAGUGGUACGCGAGCUGGGUUUAGAACGUCGUGAGACAGUUCGGUCCCUAUCUGCCGUGGACGUUUGAGAUUUGAGAGGGGCUGCUCCUAGUACGAGAGGACCGGAGUGGACGAACCUCUGGUGUUCCGGUUGUCACGCCAGUGGCAUUGCCGGGUAGCUAUGUUCGGAAAAGAUAACCGCUGAAAGCAUCUAAGCGGGAAACUUGCCUCAAGAUGAGAUCUCACUGGGAACUUGAUUCCCCUGAAGGGCCGUCGAAGACUACGACGUUGAUAGGCUGGGUGUGUAAGCGUUGUGAGGCGUUGAGCUAACCAGUACUAAUUGCCCGUGAGGCUUGACU
rnacentral:rRNA from 1 species